AAAUUUUAUGAUAACACCGAUAUAACAUUAUUAACAAAAAAGACAUCUUACACAGGUGGUUUUCGCUAGAAAUUAUUGGAACCAGAAUCGCUUUUAUUACGAACCGCUCUUUAGUAUUAUUUUAUCAAUUUGUAAUAAAAUCAACACACAAGACCAGAAAAUCCUUUCAACAUGACGGAUGGAAUGCUAUCUCUGUCAUGGAACAACCACAGCACGACUUUCUGCCACAUGCUUUCAGCCCUGAGACACAAGGACAGAUACACAGAUGCAACAUUGGCCUGUGAAGGCAAAUUCUACCCCGUGCACAAGCUUGUUCUCUCCACCUGCAGUCAGUAUUUUGAGGAGAUGUUUGACCACACACUUGGAAAGCACCCCAUUGUCCUGCUGCAAGAUGUUAAAUGUGAUGAAUUAGAGGCACUGCUGAGUUACAUGUAUAUUGGUGUUGUGAGUGUUGCACAGAAGGAUCUCUCCCGUUUAAUCAAGGUAGCUGAGCUGUUGCAGAUUAAAGGUCUAGCUGUGCCAGAUGAAGUACAGGGAGACAAGAAUACACAUUCUAAUUGUAGAAAUGCCAGACGAAGCCCCCAGUCAAGAGAGUCUGUUGAUCCUAACGAUGACAGAGCGAGUCCACACCCAAAGAGAAGGAAACAAGAUGACACUCGCUCACCAUCGCCCAGGGAACACUUUGAAAACCACAGAGCACAUUCACCCAGGUUAUCCUCAUAUUCCAAAGAUGGUGAAGAAAAUUUAGAUUUUAAUACAUCAGAAGAUAGAUCUAGAAGAGAGUUGUAUCUAGAGCAAGUUAGAGGCAGUGAAUCUGAGACAGAGCCCCUCCAUCACAGGGAACCUACAGCCAAUAAUUCCGUGCCUGAAGAGCCAAACAUCCUUUCAGGUGUGAAGUUACGAGAACAGUCAGCCACAGGGAAUCCCUCAAAGGAUACAAGUGAAGAUGCUAUAGUCAUUAAAGAGGAAGUGUGGGAAGAUCCCGAACUAAGUCACAACAACUCUAUAGACCCAAGUGUCACUUAUAGCACAGCCUCAGACAGCGCAGACCCAGACAGUCACGAUGGAGUUCAGGAGGAGCACACAGGCACGUCUAAGGAGUUCAGUCAUCCAGGUGUUCCGGCGCAGGUAUCUCAGGAACUACCAGAGGUGGUUGUUGAGGCAUUGGCAGGACCAUCAGGCAUGCAGGAGUGGCUUGGCAGUAAUGACUUUGCAGCUGGCUUAGCCUCAGUCGAGAACUUCAGCAUAAACGGAAGCCCACCUUUGUCAGAGCAUCCACAGGCACUGCAGAUGGGCGCACUCGAGGCGAGGAGUAAGGGAGGCGGAAGGGCCAUACCUCAGGGGUGCAGGAUAAGAGCAUUGAGCAGCAGCGCCAAGCAACACAAGUGUCCAUAUUGUUGCUAUUCCGUUUAUAGGAAAGCCCACUUGAUUGACCACAUUUGCACUCACACUGGCGAGAAGCCCCAUUCCUGCCCCCAUUGCCCCGCCAGGUUCAUUCAGAAAGGAAAUCUAAACACCCACAUUCGCAUCCACACUGGGGAAAAGCCCUACAGAUGCCCUAUUUGCUCACAGAGAUUCACACAGAAAAACAAUAUGUGGAUCCAUAAGCGCACCCAUAGGGUUUAGUGCACCAGGCGUGUUCAGAGCUUCAUUAUUUUAUUCAUUUUUAGAAUUAAGGCAGGGGAGGAGAGUCAGAAGGGUGAUAAGGGAGCCACAGGAGCCAAGACAGGCAUCAUAUCCAGCAGCAAGUUCCACCAGUGCCCCUACUGUGCUUACGACACACCCAGGAAAGACCACCUGGUCAUGCACAUUCG
rnacentral:misc_RNA from 1 species